rnacentral:rRNA from 1 species
AUACAUGCAAGUCGAGCGAACAGAUAAGGAGCUUGCUCCUUUGACGUUAGCGGCGGACGGGUGAGUAACACGUGGGUAACCUACCUAUAAGACUGGGAUAACUUCGGGAAACCGGAGCUAAUACCGGAUAACAUUUGGAACCGCAUGGUUCUAAAGUGAAAGAUGGUUUUGCUAUCACUUAUAGAUGGACCCGCGCCGUAUUAGCUAGUUGGUAAGGUAACGGCUUACCAAGGCGACGAUACGUAGCCGACCUGAGAGGGUGAUCGGCCACACUGGAACUGAGACACGGUCCAGACUCCUACGGGAGGCAGCAGUAGGGAAUCUUCCGCAAUGGGCGAAAGCCUGACGGAGCAACGCCGCGUGAGUGAUGAAGGGUUUCGGCUCGUAAAACUCUGUUAUUAGGGAAGAACAAACGUGUAAGUAACUGUGCACGUCUUGACGGUACCUAAUCAGAAAGCCACGGCUAACUACGUGCCAGCAGCCGCGGUAAUACGUAGGUGGCAAGCGUUAUCCGGGAAUUAUUGGGCGUAAAGCGCGCGUAGGCGGUUUCUUAAGUCUGAUGUGAAAGCCCACGGCUCAACCGUGGAGGGUCAUUGGAAACUGGGAAACUUGAGUGCAGAAGAGGAAAGUGGAAUUCCAUGUGUAGCGGUGAAAUGCGCAGAGAUAUGGAGGAACACCAGUGGCGAAGGCGACUUUCUGGUCUGUAACUGACGCUGAUGUGCGAAAGCGUGGGGAUCAAACAGGAUUAGAUACCCUGGUAGUCCACGCCGUAAACGAUGAGUGCUAAGUGUUAGGGGGUUUCCGCCCCUUAGUGCUGCAGCUAACGCAUUAAGCACUCCGCCUGGGGAGUACGACCGCAAGGUUGAAACUCAAAGGAAUUGACGGGGACCCGCACAAGCGGUGGAGCAUGUGGUUUAAUUCGAAGCAACGCGAAGAACCUUACCAAAUCUUGACAUCCUUUGAAAACUCUAGAGAUAGAGCCUUCCCCUUCGGGGGACAAAGUGACAGGUGGUGCAUGGUUGUCGUCAGCUCGUGUCGUGAGAUGUUGGGUUAAGUCCCGCAACGAGCGCAACCCUUAAGCUUAGUUGCCAUCAUUAAGUUGGGCACUCUAGGUUGACUGCCGGUGACAAACCGGAGGAAGGUGGGGAUGACGUCAAAUCAUCAUGCCCCUUAUGAUUUGGGCUACACACGUGCUACAAUGGACAAUACAAAGGGCAGCUAAACCGCGAGGUCAUGCAAAUCCCAUAAAGUUGUUCUCAGUUCGGAUUGUAGUCUGCAACUCGACUACAUGAAGCUGGAAUCGCUAGUAAUCGUAGAUCAGCAUGCUACGGUGAAUACGUUCCCGGGUCUUGUACACACCGCCCGUCACACCACGAGAGUUUGUAACACCCGAAGCCGGUGGAGUAACCAUUUAUGGAGCUAGCCGUCGAAGGUG